UGAUGCCCGAGUGGUCUAAGGGGUCGCAUUCAAGCUGCGAUAUCUUCGGAUGCGCGGGUUCGAACCCCGCUCAG
rnacentral:tRNA from 1 species